GUCAGCUCUUUAAUUGCAAGCUCCCUGAAGGGCCAUCUUCAGCACUACACAUUGUAUAUCCCUAUAUUGCUGAUACUGAACAUCAAUUCCUACCAGCUCUAUGGUAGAUAUCCUCUCUACUCCUAACUACUGAGCCAAGUCCUUGCGCACGAAACUCAACUUUCGUCUGUGUGCUAGCACAGGAUAACUGCUACUGUUUUUAGAAAUAACAUCCAUUGAAAUGCAAUGAGAUGAGAUGCUUUGGAUAUCUGCUUUUUUAAGGAAAUUGCGACCAGAUUAUCCUGAAGGGGAGGAUAAAGAAACUGACCACCAAGAUGGUAAUCACUAGUGGAAAUGAAGAAGAUAAAGGCAGUCAAGAAAAGGAAAGCAAAGAAGAAACCAUCUUGGCAAUGCUUGGAAUUAUUGGGACAAUUCUGAACCUCAUUGUGAUCAUUUUUGUGUACAUUUACACAACGUUGUAAACUAGCAGGCAUGCAAAUAGAACAGAUAAAAUGGCCAUUAAGAGUGACGACAAACAUUGCUGACUAUUGACAAGUUCUUUAAUCAGAAUUGACUCUGUAUUAUAUUAACACAUCAUAAAAGCACUGCCUGCAGGCAGUGAAGGCUGAAGCACAAUUAAUUUAACAAGACUUCUUCACACAGUAACAAGCUAAACUCUUCUGUCCUGCCCUCUUCCUUUCGCUUUGGUUUUCAGUUUUGGGGAAAAAAUGACUGCAAUUAUGGGAUUAGAAAAGCUCUGGAAAACACAAGCACGUCUAGCAAAAUAUCCUGGUGAUCUUAUGUGUUCCAUCACAGUGGAUGUGAACAUGCUGGUUGUGAAAUCCCUGAUCAGGAGCUCCAAACAAAGAGACAAGGACUCUGACUCCUCUGGAAAGCUGCCUUCUCCAGAACAGGAGCUGCACACUUCGCUGUCCCCCCAUCGCAAAAGCAUGCUUCAGAGUAUUUACGCAGAGAGUAGUACUGCUGCCAUCUGCUUGCUGAAGGAAGUAUCAGCACCGUCUUGUUAUGAACACAGUUCUGCUUGUGUCCCAAAUCACCUUUGUUUUCCCCAAGUCUAAAUAUUUAAUCAGAAUUUUUAUCUCACUUGCGCUGUGCAUCCACCAGACAACCCACCUACACUUUCUCUUUUCCCUUAGCUACAGCAACACAAAACAAGUAGCAUGAACACUAUAGUUUCCUAUUUCAUGAUGGGAUUAGAGCUACCUAAUAAGAUGCCAGCUCUGGCAGAAACAUCGCCUGCAGCUGUGGCAUUAAUAAUGCCUCUCUCUCGCAUGGAUUCCCUGACUUCUACUAGGACUGAGCUCUUGCUGCAAUAGGGACCUUCACUUGGCAGAAUGUUUUUGCAA
rnacentral:lncRNA from 1 species